AAAUUGAAGAGUUUGAUCAUGGCUCAGAUUGAACGCUGGCGGCAGGCCUAACACAUGCAAGUCGAGCGGAAACGAGUUAUCUGAACCUUCGGGGAACGAUAACGGCGUCGAGCGGCGGACGGGUGAGUAAUGCCUAGGAAAUUGCCCUGAUGUGGGGGAUAACCAUUGGAAACGAUGGCUAAUACCGCAUGAUGCCUACGGGCCAAAGAGGGGGACCUUCGGGCCUCUCGCGUCAGGAUAUGCCUAGGUGGGAUUAGCUAGUUGGUGAGGUAAGGGCUCACCAAGGCGACGAUCCCUAGCUGGUCUGAGAGGAUGAUCAGCCACACUGGAACUGAGACACGGU
rnacentral:rRNA from 1 species